UGGCAAGUCCCCUUAUGAUAACAGAAGAGCAUCGCUUCUCAGCCUUUUGGCUAAGAUCAAGUGUAGUAUGAUAACAGAAGAGCAGUGACCCUCGGGGAAGACAGAACUGAGGUGA
rnacentral:miRNA from 14 species